AACGAACGCUGGCGGCAUGCCUAACACAUGCAAGUCGAACGAGAUCUUCGGGUCUAGUGGCGCACGGGUGCGUAACGCGUGGGAAUCUGCCCUUUGGUUCGGAAUAACAGUUGGAAACGACUGCUAAUACCGGAUGAUGACGAAAGUCCAAGAUUUAUUGCCAGAGGAUGAGCCCGCGUAGGAUUAGCUAGUUGGUGUGGUAAAGGCGCACCAAGGCGACGAUCCUUAGCUGGUCUGAGAGGAUGAUCAGCCACACUGGGACUGAGACACGGCCCAGACUCCUACAGGAGGCAGCAGUGGGGAAUAUUGGACAAUGGGCGAAAGGCUGAUCCAGCAAUGCCGCGUGAGUGAUGAAGGCCUUAGGGUUGUAAAGCUCUUUUACCCGGGAUGAUAAUGACAGUACCGGGAGAAUAAGCUCCGGCUAACUCCGUGCCAGCCGCCGCCGUAA
rnacentral:rRNA from 1 species